rnacentral:misc_RNA from 1 species
CUUUGGACAGUAUCAACCCUUGGCUUGAAGGAGGAGAUUUUGAUCGAGACAGACAUGUAUCGCAAAUAAAAUGCCUUACCUAAAGCUUACAAUGGUGAUCAAAUUGAAAAUACAAGGAGUUUUGAGACUUCAACAAAAAGAAUAAAAUUUAUUAGAGGACAAAAAUAAAGACGCCUACAAAAAGCAAGCAAACAAACGGGGGCCAUUGGAGAUUUUGCAUUUGCAUUUGCAAUCCCUCUGAUUACCUCCAAUACAUGUAGAAAGGGAGCUCUUUUAUACUGAUAAUUGGCAGAUAGGAUAUGAAAAUUUUCAGCCCCAUCUAAUAAUUGCAGAACCCCAGGUUAGGCCGGCUCCAAAACCUGCAGUUGCAAUAGUGUGGCCUGGCUUCACCUUCCCACUUCGAAUAGCUUCGUCCAAAGCCAAUGGAAUGGAAGCAGCACUUGUGUUACCAUAAUUUGCUAAAUUUGAUAUGAUCCUUUCUGGUGGGACUUCUAAGCGUGUUGCAACUGCAUCAAGGAUCCUCUGAUUUGCCUGCAAAAAUUAAUAAUUGUUAUUACUACGUCACAUGCACGCGAUCUCAGGCAUAUCAUAUAAGACAAAUUUGAGAACCUUAAUAUUUACCAUAGUAGAACUUCCUAUUGGAAAACCAUAGUAGAACUUCCUAAAAUCUGCAUAUCAUUUCAAGAUCCUCAUUAAAACAUCUAGUUUUUACCUUGUGUGCAGCCUAAUAAUAAAGCAUACACAACCUGCCUUUAGUAUUUUCACCCCUUCUGACUUCUGAGAUCAAAACUACAUAUUUGCUGUAGUUUCUGGCCUCAGUAGACUUUCUCAUGUCCUUCUAUAGGAAAUUAACACCAUGAUUCAUGAACCAAUCUAAUGGCCAUCAAAAUUUCUUCCUUCUACUAGAACAUUUACAAGAUUAAUCAAUCUGAGACUCUCGGUAUUGACAAUCUGAUGGCACAAUAAGGUGUAUUAUCAAAUUAGAAUUUACCCUGUAUUAUAUUCUGUGACUGUAUUUCAUACCUGGUGGAGCAGUAACCAAUCAAUGCUAGACCCAGUGAGACCAGCCUUUUCAAGGGCAGACUCUACAGAUUGUGGCACACAUCGUACAGCAAAGCGAAAAACCUCUUUUCCAUUCAUCUGAAUGCAAGAAUACGAGGUAUGCCAGGGAGGGAAGCCUAAAACUGAACCGUUAGAUUCCAGUGCAUGAUCCACUUCGUUUUCUUUGAUGGUGGCUUUCAAAUGUCUGCAUGAGGGUUUUAUAGGUGAUCUGACACAUUCCUAGCAGAAAGAUGCAGAAUAUGUUUCACUGGGAACAUGAGAAGCACAUACCUUUGGCCAUCACCAUCACUAUGCAAGUCAAAACUAAACAAACCAUCAUCCUCACUGUCACAGGCCUGCAGAAUUAUAUGUGUCUCAAAACUAAGCAGCUACAAAUUGAUUGUUUACAUAUAAAUAAAUAAACAAAAGAAAACAAAGAGGGUGGGAAUCAAGGUGGGGGGAAGACCUAAGGUUACAGAGAGCUUUAACAAAAAAAAUAAAACUACAUUGCAGAUGAAAAUAAGAUAUUUCCCCCUGCUUGGGUGUUGUUGAAGGUUUAUUAUCGAGUAAAUACAUCUAAUUGACAUGCAGCCUCACAUGAAGAGGUGGGGAUCCAAACCACAAACUAUUGUCCUAAAGAAACCAAGUCUUUGAUGGGAGAUACUGCUAACAAAUGAGCCCAUUAAUGAUUCUCUUUCCUUUUUCCCGUGAGUAAAGCUCCCUCUUGAGGAAGCAUCAUAGCAUGUUAAUGAGCACAAUGUUUUGUCCAGACAAAAAAAGUAUGCACACUACAGCGAGAACUACUACAAAAUUUGAUGCAUGAUAUGAUUUUAGCAAAGGUAAUGAUUAUCAACCAAGAAGAAAAGGUUAUCAAUGUAAAUUAAAGGUUAGUAGCCUCAAGUAAAGAGAGGUCAGGUCAAUCCCCAACUCCAAUUAGUUGAGAUCAGCUAAAUAGAUCAUUCCCCUCCGUUCACUUGAGAAGCACCAUUGAAACAAAAAGGGAUAAUGACUAAAAAAGUCUGUACUUUUGGUCCGAUUUGCAACUACAACCAAUCCUUUUAAUCUUGCCAAUUAGACAUAUAACCUUUCACAUGGAUAUAAAUUAUAGCCAAACUUAUUAGAGUACGUCCCUAAAUUUUGAAAUUAUGGACACAACAUACAUUUUAUUCAUAAUAAAAAUAUUAGAGGUAGAGAGAAAUAGAGAGAAAAGAUGCAAUAAAAAGAUCCGGAUUUUGCUUUUCCUAUUUUUCUAAUUUUCAAGUUUUACAUAAUAAUUAAUAACUUUUAAAAUAUAGUCAAUCAUUUUUUUACAGGUCUUACGCUUAACGUACCAUAUCAUAUGCUAAUAGGAAAACUUUUUUCAAUAAAAUAUGUCAGGUUAGCAGUUUGAUGGCUUUAGCAUGCACUCUUUCAGGUUUGGCUGCAAGCCAAUAAUUGAUAACAAUAUGAAAGGUUGUAUAUAUUAUUAACAAAACUAAAAGAAUUUGCUACAAUUGCAAAUUGGACCAAAGCUAUGUAUUUUUUAGGUCAUUAACCCCAAAAAAAAAUUCUGCCAAUGAUAUCAAGAAAAUUAAAUCACAAAAUACCAUGAGGCAUAUCUAAGCUGCUAUAGAUGUACAACUUAAAAAAAAUAAGGUCAAAAUGUAGACCAUACCUGUACGAGCACAGCACCUGCAGCAUCCCCAAAGAGAAUACAAGUUCCUCUAUCCGUCCAGUCAACAUAUCGAGAAAGAGAAUCAGCGCCAACAACCAAUACAUUUUGAAACCCACCUCCCCUAAUGUGACAAGCAGCUGAAACCAGACCCAAUAUGAAUCCACUACAUGCAGCUGUAAUAUCAUAAGCCAAAGGAUUUCUUUUGCAGCCAAGUGCCUUUUGGAUCUGAGGAGCACUACCAAAAAGAUCUUCUGGUGUAGAUGUGCACAUCAAGACUAGGUCCACAUCAUCAGGCUCCACUUCUGCCAUCUGAAGAGCCUUACUAGCUGCCUCUGCAGCUAGAGAAAUCAAGCUAUCUUUGCCUGUAAAAGUGGUGCUGGAAUCAAAUUAAUAACCUCUUGCAGAGCAAGAGAAUUGAACAAAACAAGUGCACCUUCCACAUUGUAAACAACCAGCCAUAGAUAAGGAGACCGAUAAUGCUUGUGGAAACACAAAUCAUCUUUUGAUGACUACCAUACUACAACAUUGAUGUUUUGUAAUCCAGCAACCAUUAGAUAGUUCGCUUUGGAGACGCUUCACCCUAAAAACAUACUGAGAUGCCCAGUUUAUCUAUUAAGAGAUAUCAUAAAGCAGGAAACCAGAAAUGGCCAUCAUAUGAUGACACGUCAACCAAGACAAGUACAACUUCCAUGGCUCAAAGCCUAAAGCCAUCAAGAUGAAUGCCCUUCACCUAGGCUCAAAAUCAGCUUUCAAACAUUGUGAUCAAGAAUCUGAGUUACAGGCCUAUAUGUUAGACUGUUCAUGGCCAUUGCAGAUACGACACAAAUGCACACAAGUAAGGACUGACCUGUAAGAACUCUUCGAUUGCGAAUCCCAGUUCGAACAGAUAUCCAUUCAUCAUUUGUAUCAACUAUUUUUGCAAGAUCAUCAUUUGAAACCUGAAGAGUGGGUACUGCUGAGCCACUUCCAACUAGCUUGCAGCCUUUACUAAUAAGCCUGGGUAUUCGAGAUUGAGAACUAGAAAGCUUCUCUGCACCUUCAAUGGCGCCGGAGCAAAAUACCCUCUUUGAUAUUCUAUAGGAGGAGAAAAACCCAGAUCCAAUAAUCCCUAUUGAAGGUCUAAUCCUCCUCUUUAGGCUUGGAACUGAAGGGGUAAAUAAUCCAGAUGCAUUUGCCAUUUAUUCCACUAACACACUAAACGAAGAAAAUGAAGAUAUGUGCUGCAGCUGUAGCGAGAGAAAAAAGCAAGGAUCUUUGUUUUUCAGCUUAUAUAUAGAGCAAGAGAACGAGAAUGAUAAGUGUUUAUAGACACUGCGCCCAUAAGAUUAGAAAGGC